AACGAACGCUGGCGGCAUGCCUAACACAUGCAAGUCGAACGAACCCUUCGGGGUGAGUGGCGCACGGGUGCGUAACACGUGGGAACCUGCCCUUAGGUUCGGAAUAACAGUUAGAAAUGACUGCUAAUACCGGAUAAUGUCUUCGGACCAAAGGUUUAUCGCCUUUGGAUGGGCCCGCGUAGGAUUAGCUAGUUGGUGAGGUAAAGGCUCACCAGGGCGACGAUCCUUAGCUGGUCUUAGAGGAUGAUCAGCCACACUGGGACUGAGACACGGCCCAGACUCCUACGGGAGGCAGCAGUGGGGAAUAUUGGACAAUGGGCGAAAGCCUGAUCCAGCAAUGCCGCGUGAGUGAUGAAGGCCUUAGGGUUGUAAAGCUCUUUUACCUGGGAUGAUAAUGACAGUACCAGGAGAAUAAGCCCCGGCUAACUCCGUGCCAGCCGCCGCCGUAACAC
rnacentral:rRNA from 1 species